CACGUCCACGCGCUGCUUCUCCACCUCCGUCUCCCCACACAUGUUGUGCUUGCGGGCGAUGUAGCGCAGGAUGGCGUUGCUCUGGGUCAGUUUGACGUCGCCAUCAAUGAGAUAGGGCAGGUUGGGGAAGUCAAGGCCCAGCUUCUCCUUCUCAUUGGUCCAAUCGCUCGGGUCGAAGUCAGGGGCUGGCCCGGCUUUGUACCGCCGCUCCUGGUAGGGGGUCUCGGUGUACUCCAGCAGCAGGCGGAUGGCGUGGGCCAACCCGCGGAUGUCCCAAUAACCCAACGUGACCACCAUGGCGAGCGCCGAUCCGCGGACACCGACGGGACGUUCCGCUCCGGAGCGCAGCGCAGCAAAGCGGAGCCCCCCC
rnacentral:lncRNA from 1 species